CUCCCCACCUCUUCCCACUGUCUGCAGAUCCAGAUGUGGAACUCUAAGCUCCUGAGGUUACAGAAGCCCAAGCCAGGCCCAGUCUCUCCCUUUCCCCCUCCCCUUCCCUCUCCUCCCCCUCCCCCUUCUCUCCCCUUCCCCCCUGCCUCUCCCCUUCCCUCCCUUUCCCCUCCCCGCUUCCUGCUGCCUGCAGAUCCAGAUGUGGAGGUCUAAACUCCUUCUCCAGUACUAUGUCUGCCUUUGUGCCACCAUGCUUCCCGCCGUUCUGAUAACAGACUUUUGACUAUAUCUCUAAAGUGUAAACAACCCCAGUGCUUUUCUUUAUGAGUGUUGCUGUGAUCAAGGUGACGAUCCACAGCAAUAGAUACCACAAGGAAGACACAGGCAUAUAGCCCAACGGGUACUGGGACAAAGGAACACCAGACGAGAUACCUAGCCUCAUGCCUUCCUGGCCAUUUCCUCACAGUGUUUUCUGGGAACAAGAGACCUUCCAAAAGCUGAGGGGGUUGCAGCCCCAUUGCGGGAGAAACAGUGUCAACCGGUCAGACCCCUCCCAAAGCUCCUGCAGACUGGACCACCAACCAAAGACUACAAAUGGAGGGACGCAUGCCUCCGGCCGCUUAUGUGUCAGAGGAUGGCCUUGUUUGAUCAUCAGUAGGAAGAGCUGCCCCUGGGCCUGAGGGUGUUUGAUGACCCAGUGUAGGGGAAUGCCAGGAGGUCCUGAGUUCAACUCCCAGCAAUCACAUGGUGGCUCACAACCGUCUGUAAUGGAAUCUGAUGCCCUCUUCUAGUGUGUUUGAAGACAGUGACAACAUACUCACAUAAAUAAAUAAACCUUUUUAA